GACGAACGCUGGCGGCGUGCCUAAUACAUGCAAGUAGAACGCUGAAGGAGGAGCUUGCUUCUCUGGAUGAGUUGCGAACGGGUGAGUAACGCGUAGGUAACCUGCCUGGUAGCGGGGGAUAACUAUUGGAAACGAUAGCUAAUAUCGCAUAAUAGUAGAUGUUGCAUGACAUUUGCUUAAAAGGUGCAAUUGCAUCACUACCAGAUGGACCUGCGUUGUAUUAGCUAGUUGGUGGGGUAACGGCUCACCAACGCGACGAUACAUAGCCGACCUGAGAGGGUGAUCGGCCACACUGGGACUGGGACACGGCCCAGACUCCUACGGGGGGCAGCAGUAGGGAAUCUUCGGCAAUGGACGGAAGGCUGACCGAGCAACGCCGCGGGAGUGGAGAAGGGUUUCGGAUCGUAAAGCUCUGUUGUAAGAGAAGAACGAGUGUGAGAGUGGAAAGUUCACACUGUGACGGUAUCUUACCAGAAAGGGACGGCUAACUACGUG
rnacentral:rRNA from 1 species